rnacentral:lncRNA from 1 species
CAUUUGCAAAGUGAAGAAAAUGGAGCUUACCUUGAAUGGUGAUGCAGGUUUUUUAAAGAAGCAGAGCCAGAAAGAGCAGGCACUUCAGUUAGAGGGUGACAAGAGCAUGAAGAAGACAGUGGCAGAGAUGAGAUCUUGCCCUCAAGCCCAGUUCCACACAGAUUGAAAAGACCUUGGUACCUCCUUUGUCUCCAGUGAAAAAUGAGCC